AGCUUGCCUGCUAUCUCUUACCCAUGUCUUUUGAGUACCUUCGUUUCCUCGGCGGGUCCGCCCGCCGAUUGGACAAAUUUAAACCCUUUGCAGUUGCACUCAGCGUCUGAAAAAACAUAAUAGUUACAACUUUCAACAACGGAUCUCUUGGUUCUGGCAUCGAUGAAGAACGCAGCGAAAUGCGAUAAGUAGUGUGAAUUGCAGAAUUCAGUGAAUCAUCGAAUCUUUGAACGCACAUUGCGCCCCUUGGUAUUCCAUGGGGCAUGCCUGUUCGAGCGUCAUUUGUACCUUCAAGCUCUGCUUGGUGUUGGGUGUUUGUCUCGCCUUUGCGUGUAGACUCGCCUCAAAACAAUUGGCAGCCGGCGUAUUGAUUUCGGAGCGCAGUACAUCUCGCGCUUUGCACUCAUAACGACGACGUCCAAAAAGUACAUUUUUACACUCUUGACCUCGGAUCAGGUAGGGAUACCCGCUGAACUUAAGCAUAUCAAUAAGCGGAGGAGAUCA
rnacentral:rRNA from 1 species